rnacentral:rRNA from 1 species
CCAAUAGCGUAUAUUAAAGUUGUUGCAGUUAAAAAGCUCGUAGUUGAACUUCGGGGUUUACCCAUUGGUCAGGCUUAAUUGUUUGUACUGGUGAGAUAAAUCUCUACCUUCUGAGGAACUUUCAUGUCAUUAAUUUGGUGUGAUUGGAAAUCAGGACUGUUACUUUGAAAAAAUUAGAGUGUUUAAAGCAGGCUAACGUCUGAAUACAUUAGCAUGGAAUAAUGAAAUAGGACGGAUUGAUUCUAUUUCGUUGGUUUCUAGGAUCACCGUAAUGAUUAAUAGGGAUAGUUGGGGGCAUUAGUAUUCAAUUGUCAGAGGUGAAAUUCUUGGAUUUAUUGAAGACUAACUACUGCGAAAGCAUUUGCCAAGGAUGUUUUCAUUAAUCAAGAACGAAAGUUAGGGGAUCGAAGACGAUCAGAUACCGUCGUAGUCUUAACCAUAAACUAUGCCGACUAGGGAUCGGACGAAGUUAAUUUUAUAAUGACGCGUUCGGCACCUUACG